UUACGUGCUAUGAAUAGGAGUAUUAGUAAUAAAUAUAUCUUAAGAGAGCUGUUGUUAGACAUUUUAUUCUGUCUUAGGUGCAAAACAGUGAUGUGUUAUUAUGAACUUGCCUAGGAGCUUACUUGCCAAAAGCAAGUACGGUAAUACCGUUAUAAUAUCGAGUGAGAAGAAUCAAUUUAUUUGUUCUUCUAAUUAAGAGUGGUACCACGGAAAUUACGCUUUCGUCUCUUUU
rnacentral:ncRNA from 1 species